GAUGAACGCUGGCGGCGUGCUUAACACAUGCAAGUCGAACGGAAAGGCUCCUGCUUGCAGGGGUACUCGAGUGGCGAACGGGUGAGUAACACGUGGGUGAUCUGCCCUGCACUUCGGGAUAAGCCUGGGAAACUGGGUCUAAUACCGGAUAGGACGAUGGUUUGGAUGCCAUUGUGGAAAGUUUUUCGGUGUGGGAUGAGCUCGCGGCCUAUCAGCUUGUUGGUGGGGUAAUGGCCUACCAAGGCGUCGACGGGUAGCCGGCCUGAGAGGGUGUACGGCCCAAUUGGGGCAUGGGAUACGGCCCAAACCCCUAGGGGGGGCAGCGGGGGGGAAUAUUGCAAAAGGGGGGAAAGCCUGAUGCGGCGCCCCGGGGGGGGGGAGGCGGGCCUUGGGUUUUUAAACCCCUUUCGCUGGGGACGAAGCCAAAGGGGCGGUACCGGGAGAAAAAGCCCCGGCUAACUACGU
rnacentral:rRNA from 1 species